AUUGAACGCUGGCGGAAUGCUUUACACAUGCAAGUCGAACGGUAGAGGGGGCAACCCCUUGAGAGUGGCGAACGGGUGAGUAAUAUAUCGGAACGUGCCCAGUCGUGGGGAUAACGUAGCGAAAGUUACGCUAAUACCGCAUACGAUCUACGGAUGAAAGCGGGGGACUCGCAAGAGCCUCGCGCGAUUGGAGCGGCCGAUAUCAGUAUUAGGUAGUUGGGUAGGGGUAAAGGCUCACCAAGCCAACGAUCUGUAGCUGGUCUGAGAGGACGACCAGCCACACUGGAACUGAGACACGGUCCAGACUCCUACGGGAGGCAGCA
rnacentral:rRNA from 1 species